CUCAGACAAUCUUGGAGGUGAAGAUGCUGAAUGUUGAGGUCCUGGGCUGGUGUGGUUACACGUGGUUGUGAGACCGGUUGGAUGUACUGCCAAAUUCUCUGAAACGCCUUUGGAGACGGCUUAAAUGGACAUUCAGUUCAUGGGCUCUGGUGGGCAUUUCUGCAGUCCGCAUGCCAAUUGCACGCACCCUUGCGACAUCUAUGGCAUUGUGCUGUAUGAUAAAUCUGCACAUUUUAGAGUGGC